rnacentral:lncRNA from 1 species
CACCACUGCAGGCUUCCUUACAUGUUUGGUGCUGGGAAUUUCUAGGGAGCACUUGCUUUAUACUUCUUGAACUAGUCCUUUUACAGCAUAAGAUGUCUUCAUUUUUCUCUCUGCGGAUGGUAUUUCCCAUGAAUGUGUAUCUUGCAAAUGGUUACAAAAAUGAGAAUUCUCAUGGCCUCAUCAUAUCCCCCCAUGUCUGAUGUCUAACAUACUGCUAUAUUCACAGGAGCACCGAUUCAGGGGCCACCUCACCUCUUGAACUGCGCCUCCACCCCAGAGUUGAUGUCAACAAAUACUGACACUGAGAUUCUUCGCGUCCUUGGAAAGAAAGUGGACUUUAGAAAACUUGGGCUUGACUGGAAAACCAAGGGCCAAGCGCACAUAAAAUGAAGGCAGCCACUGCUGAUGUGACGUUCUCCUGCACUGUCUGAGGACAUGUCUCGAGGCACCAGCAACUCCAACAGCCCUUCCAACUGGGUCACAGGUGACAAAGUGAAAGGCUCCGCCUCUGUGCAGGGAAACCGCUCACCAAGGAAAUCCAAACGCAGAAAAGAAGCAGACUGGGCCCAAGGCUCCCAGAGGAAUAACAAAACGAGGAGCGAGCAUGACUGCAGCAAUGGUCCUUUCAAGCAGCAGCUAACUUGGUGGAACACCCUGUCCCUUGGGUGCGAGCAGACCGCCCCUUGGCUCAAAGUCAUCCUGCUGUCCCGGCUGCUGGUUCUCCAGGCCAACAAAGACCAGCAUGACAAAACACAUCGAGAAAGUGUCACAGAAUGCUCUUCUGCAGGAGCCUUGCUUCUAGAAGUGGAGUGGAUCUGCAGUCCAUAUAAAAGCUUGGGCAAAGUUUUACAAGGUGCAACCAUGUACUAG